CAAUAGCGUAUAUUAAAGUUGUUGCAGUUAAAAAGCUCGUAGUUGAAUUUCGGGUCCCCGCGCUCGGCGCUUCAUUGUGCCGUCGUGGUGUCCCUCCUCGCCGUAAGGCGUCCUUUACUGUGAAAAAAUUAGAGUGUUCAAAGCAGGCAAUCGCUUGAAUACAUUAGCAUGGAAUAAUAAGAUAGGAUCUUGUCUAUUUUGUUGGUUGCGGACAACGAUAAUGAUUAAUAGGGAUAGUUGGGGGUGUCCGUAUUGAGCUGUCAGAGGCGAAAUUCUUGGAUUUGCUCAAGACGAACUACUACGAAAGCAUUCACCAAGGAUGUUUUCAUUAA
rnacentral:rRNA from 1 species